rnacentral:rRNA from 1 species
CAAUUAAAAUUUAAAAAUAUUAAUUUUUAAAUUAAUUAAUAUAAAAAAAAUUAUUAUAAAAAUAUAAUUAUUUUAUUAUUUAAUUAUAAAAAAUAAAAUUAAUAAAGUAUUGAAAAAGAUAUAAUUUAAUUAAAUUUAAGUAAAAUUAAAAAUUUUUACCUUUUGUAUCAGGAUUAAUUUAAUAAAUAUUAAAUAAAUUAAUUAUCUCGAAUAUAAAAAAACUAAUUAAUUAUAAUAAUUAAUGUAACAAUAUUAUUAUAAAUAAUUAAUUAGAAAUGAUAUAUUAUUCAAUUUUAUACUUAUCUAGUUUUUUAAGAAAUAGAUUUAAUCUAUAUAUUUAUUAAAUUAAAAAUUUAAUUAAUGAAUUUUUAAUUAAAUAAAUAUAAAUAAAAUUAGAGAUAAAUUUAAUUUUAUAUAAAUUAAAUUCAAUUAAUUAAAAUAAAAUUAAAAAUAGAAUUAAAAAUAUUCAAUUUUAAAAUAAAUAUAAUAAUUUAUUCAUUUUUAGAUAUAAUUUUUUAAAAAUUAACUAACUAUUAAAAUUAAUUUAUUAAUAAUUAAUAAAAUAUAAUAAUAAUUAAAUAAGUAUAAUUAAUUUAAUUAAAUUAAAAAAAAAUUUAAGGAACUCGACAAAUAAAUUUUUCACCUGUUUAACAAAAACAUCGUUUUUAGUUAAAAAUUAUAAAUCAAAUCUGCUCAAUGAAUAAAUUUAAUAGCUGCAGUAUAUUAACUGUACAAAGGUAGCAUAAUAAUUUGUCCUAUAAUUAAGGAAUAGAAUGAAUGAUUUAAUGAAAAAAUUUUUGUCUCAAAUUUUAUAUUAAAAAUUAAUAUUUAAGUUAAAAAGCUUAAAUUAAAUUAAAAGACGAGAAGACCCUAUAGAAUUUAAUAUUAAAUAUUUAUAUUAUAUUAAAUUAUAUAAAAUAUAAAAAUAUUAAUAUUUAAUUGGGAGGAUUUUUAAAUUUAUUAAACUUUAAAUAAAUUAUAAAUUAAUAUAUUUAAAUUAAAUGAUCCAAAUAUCUUGAAUUUUAAAAUAAAUUACCUUAGGGAUAACAGCAUAAUUUUUUUAAAAAGUUCAUAUUUAAAAAAAAGUUUAUGACCUCGAUGUUGAAUUAAGAUUAAUAUAAAUGAAAAUAUUUAUAAUUUUAAGUCUGUUCGACUUAUAAAUCUUACAUGAUUUGAGUUCAGACCGGCGUAAGCCAGGUCAGAUUCUAUCUUUAAUAAAAAAAUAUAUUAUUGUACGAAAGGACUUAAUAUUUAAAUUAAUAUUUUAUUUUAAUAAAUUAAAUUAAUUA